rnacentral:rRNA from 1 species
CCCUUCCUAGUACGAAAGGACCGGAAGGAGUAAGGCCUCUAUUAAAAACAUGCCUUAUCCCCAUCCGAUGCCCCCAUAAAUCGGACCAAAGGGAAAUACCGCCAAGUCAAAGAUA